rnacentral:lncRNA from 1 species
CAGCAGUCGUGGCCAAAGGAGGAUUCAUACAAUUUUCCGUACUUUCCGGUUGGUUUCUACAGUCCGAUAUUGUAGCACGCUAACUUUGUUUGGGCUCGUGAACGACACGGGGGAGCAGCAUCUGCCUCACAACCAAUCAGGAUGGUAGAGGCGGAGAAUACGGCUUUGUUUACAGUCAGAAAGAGCGGGCCGCUCCGAAAAUUUUAAAAUGUCGACUACACAGCGAUAACAAAACACAGCGAUAUCGUUAUAUUACUAAAUGUCAUCAAUAACUAAUAGCUAUUGACUGAUAUUAAAAGCUUUUUGUAUAAACACCACAAAAAAGAUGCUUCUUUAACGGAUUCCUGCCUACCCCACCUUUAAUCAACAUAACUCUUUCAUGAAGUGAUUUUUAUUGUCUCUCAUCUUUGUCACCCUAAAAACUCUUUUCUGAUAUCGUAAGAAAACCCUCUGUCUAGUCUUACUUUCUCCUGUAUUUUCGACACCUCGGAGCACUUCAUCAAGUUGUUGUUAUGUAAGUGAUUGAGGAGGUGAGGAAAGGCUCUAUAGCGUGUUUUACUUUUCUGCGGCUUUCAUUUAUAUUUCAGUGGUAAUUACGCUAAUGUUCUCACACAAACCCAGUAAAAAGAUGAGAGUGCCCUUCACAUACCUGCCUAUACCCUCAAGUCUGCUUGUGAUUUCAUCCCCACUUAUCAGUCAUCGCCCACUUUCGAAUUACUGAACUGUCUGAGAGAGUGUUUUCUCCACUUCUCCGUACAGCUGUGCGUCGGCUAAAUGAUAGCUUUGUUCGCUUCAUUUCCCCUGUUGCGUAUAUCUUUGAGCUGGGAACCACAGGUGCCCUUUCAAGUAAUCCAUUUCCUCGUCCCAUAUUUGCAUACAUGCAUAAUUCAUGGCAAAAUGGCAUCCCAAAGAGAGGGUCCAAUGAGAGAGCACUAUUUUUAGUAUGCACCUGGCAUCAGUGCCGCCCAUCCUGAUACCUCAGGUUCAAUUACAAAGGUUUGGUGCUGUAGCAGCGUUGAAGGGCUGAGGUGUGUGGGCUGAGGGAGGAUGUGUAAAAAUAUCUAGCAGACUGUUCCCCAGAGUUGAAAGAGUUUCUCCUGAAUGCAAUCAGGCAAAUGAAAAUAUUAACAGGGCCUCUGAACAAAACAUCAAUCAGUAAAGGCAGCAGUGUGAGAAAAGAGGGUGCCGGCAUAUCAGGAGGGGAAACGCAGAAAAGCACAUUUUUAACUUCCCAGCACAACAAAGAAGAAUAAACAAAAGAAAAUACAGAUGAAAAGAUUUUCUUCUAUUUUUCAUUUUGACAAGUCUUAUCUCUCAGAAGUUUGUCCGUCUGUGUGUGUGUGUGUGUGUGUGUGUGUGUGUGUGUGUGUGUGUGUGUGUGUGUGUGUGUGUGUGUGUGUGUGUGUGUGUGUGUGUGUGUGUGUGUGUGCCUGUUCUCCCUAACACACUUCUCCUCUGCUCAAAUCAAUUACAUUCAGUUCAGGAGACUCUGCAGGCAUGACAGGAUUAAAUUGUCAAACUCAACAACAACGGUACACAUAUAAAAAUCUUAAAGCCGAUUUCCGCUGUGUGCGGUUUAUAGACGGUGUUAUAUGUAGAUAUGAUAAAGUCUAUUCAAAGAUAAGUCAGCCUUACAAAGCACUGAGUUUCAUCUCACUUGUUUUCCCUUCUCUGUCUCCCUCUGUUUUUGUUUGCCUCUGUUAUUGCCCUGACACUUCUAUACACUCACUCUCACUCAGUGGAUAAAAUUCAAAUGAAUUCAGAAAUAUCCUAACCUUACUGCAGCACACACCGGACAUUUCCCCGGGAUGCAGUGUGGACCUAAUUCGCCCCCUACUUUCAGUUUUGAGGACAUGAGUCGUGUGUGAAUAAAGUGGGAUGGCUUCCUUUUGAAUGUCAUUAUCUGAGCUGAGUCUGUCUACCUGCUCCACAGGCCACAGAUUUCUCUCCAGUUUCAGAGCUGGGCUGAUAAAACUUGUAGAUAAAGUUACUUCUAAUCAAAUCUAGAUUGAACACAUUUCACAUUAUUUCAUUCCGUCAUGCUGUAUUUCCAAGCACUCCCGAAUUACUCGGUGCAUAAAUGUAUAUUGUCGGCGCCUGUGUACCUGACGACGGUAAGUCUGUUACAGCACGAGGACAGACUCAGAUUGCUAUCUCCAUGAUGGAUUGCCAAGUGCAGCUACUUUAAAAUACUAUUAGGACAUAGUCCCCAGCUUGCUGAAGGGUGUUCACUAAUGUAUUACUCCUCCUGGGACUGAGUUUCUGUCUGCUCUAGUUUUAAAAGUUUGCUACAAAAGCAGCAACAAAACACGACAGAGCUAAGAAAGCUUGUGCUCCCCAGUACAAAACCCAUCUGGUCACACUUCCGUUGCUGCAUCUUUAGUUGCCUUGUUGUGGCAGAACAGUUUGGUUAUGCAAUUAAAGCAUGUAAAUUGAUAGCACAGCAAAACAACAGUCCCAGUUUAAUUCCUGCUUAAUGACAUUGCUGCUAAGCCGACCCCUUCCUCUAGAGGUGUACUACAGGAAAAACCUCAUUAACUUUUUUUGUGUCCCUCAUUAUUAUUAUUUUUUUCUGCCCUGAGAACAGCCGAGACUUAUCUGCUGAGUGAUUAGAAGCGCAAUGAGAACAAUUUUUUUGUAAUCAGACCAACCUAAGCAACGCGGCCCGCACAAAGCCCAGAAGGGACGUCCCCCUGAGAGAUGCAAAUGAUCCUGUUUUUCUGAGCAUAAGUGGUGAAAGAAUGAGAGGAGACGGGCCUAUAAAUGGUGGUCACAUUUCACGUUGGAGUAACGACUGCCCUAAAUACACACACAGAGCUUAUUCUCUACAGGCUGCUCUGUGUGUGUAGGUGUGCGUUUGUGAGUGUGUGCACGCUCUGUUUUUGUUUCGCCCUUCCCCGGGUCAAUAACUCAGCCAUGACAUAAAUGAUUUAUGCCGGGCAUCAUCUGAAAAUGUUGGUUUCAGCAUGGUCCAAGUAUUGAUCAGUGUGUAUUGACUGAAGGCCGCGGUGUCAGACUCAAUUGGGGAAACAUGAGGGUGUUGUAUUAAUACAGUGUUGUUGUUUUUUGCUCAUUAGGCUCAGCGCCUCUGCUUCUGACUCUAUUGUUGUUUGACAGGAGCGUUCAAGUGCUUCGACUGCACUCUGUGAUUUAUCUGGAAAUUCAUUUCCAAUCAGCAGUGACGCACCAUGGAGAACAUUCUCAAUAAAGUUGCUUUUGUGACUUUAAAUCAAUGUUAAUUUUUGCAAUUCAGUUGUUGUCUUGGGCCUCUUACACACUGCAUCUCUGCAGGAGUGCAGGAACAGAGUUGUGCCAUCAUUAAGCCUUUAACUUACACAUUGCACCCUGAUAUAUUAGUGUCCCAGAGUGUGGUUGAACGUUGUAUUGUAGCACUGGGAAGGGCAAGAGGCACAGCUUGUUUACACACAGUGGGAGCACCACAUACACACCGAUCUGCCUCGACACGACACGCCCACUCUGUCACCCCCUUAUUCUGCUUCUGUAACUACAGGGGGGUGGCAGUGUGCUACUGCCUCUGAAUUUACGAUUGUCCGUUUUAUUCUCAUUUUUGUUAGCUCUUUUUAGUUUAAUCUACAAAAAUUCAAAUUGAUUGUCAGUUUCGCGCAUGAACAUGCUGAAAUGAACAUAUUUAUUGAAUUUAGCAGCUUGACUUUGGGGACGUGGAUGGGGAGGGUCCGAGAGACCUCCAGAGCUUCAUAGUCACUAAACAUAGUGUUGCAACAGCUGAAGUUGGAUUCAUGACUCCCAGUGCUGAAAAAGCCAGUGUUUCUGACCAUUUGAAGUAGUAUUAUUACAGAUUAAAAAGACAAAAAAAAAACCAAAAACAAAAAUAGGAUGGAUACCAGCAGGAUAAAGUUUGAGAGAGGUGCAAAUAUUUUAGAAUGGAGAAGAAUUCAUUCCUGUGUAUCUGGGUUGGAGGAAGGCGCACACUUUAGGCAAGUAAUCUUCCGAAGUUGUAUGUGUACCUCUAAGUUUGCAAAGCUGCAGAUUUUUUCUUUUGCUUCAUUAUAGAAAAAAAUUAUUUGGAUUUUCUGGGUAUUUAAACUAAACAUCAGUUUAGCUGAGGUAGCCUCUUAUGGUAAUAAUUCAUUUAUUCUCCAUUUUCCAAAUGAAUGAACCUUCACCAGUACGUUGUUGACACCAGAGAAUUUCUGGAUGAUUGGUUUAGGUUUAGAUUUUGCAGACCUCACAAAUAAGCGAGUAAAGUAGGUAGCGUGUUGUCAAUUUGUAUGAUUUCCUCGUAUGAUCUUCUUAGUUUGCGGGGCCUCAUUUCCAUCUUUUCAUCGCCACACUAGAACUUGCCUCUACAUUGACUUUCUGUGUAAUUCAGAGCUUUGUCAUUGGGUUUAUCGUAACCAGUCCUCUAUGAAGUUGUUUUUGGUGUUUCAUUUAAUCUGACGUUUUCUUGUUCAAAAACCUUUCUUUCAUGUCUGUGUUCUUUGUGAUAUUUUUAACCUGUUUUUUUUGUUUGUUUGUUUGUUUAUCCCCCACGUACAAAUACGUGUUGAAGCUCCCUUUUUUCUGGGGUUUUUCUUUUAUAUGUGUGACCAGAUUCUCUUCUGCACCAAGCAUUGGUAUUUUUUUGUCCAAGGCUUACUAGCUUAAGCCAUAUUUAGGAGGAAAACGACUGUAAGCCAGUAUUACUCUACCUAAAUGUCACAUAACAGGCAUCAGGAAUAAGUACUUUUGUCAGAAUGAGCUGGCAAAUACUGAAAAUCUUGAGUCCACAGGGACCGCAGCGAGUACCCACAUUGAGUAAUUGACUGAAUAUUGUUUUUAUCCCACCACUGCUGCAUGUACAGCCAUCACUGUCUAGCUUCGGGGCUCACUGUGUGUCAGCUGACAGACACAACUGCUGCUGGGAAAAAUACCAUCCCUCCCUCUUUCCCUCUCUCUAUCCAUGCAUCCAUCCAUCUUUGCUUUAAAAGCUGCCAAAAUAUCUAUCUGCUGUAUUCUUAUGAAGCAAACAUACACCUUUCCCAAACUGGAUGAUCAUGAUCUCCUGACCCCUAAACCAAUAACUGACUUUAUCGUUUUUUUAGUCUUCCAGUCGUGUUUUUGUGUUUGUGUGUUGGCCCUUGUGAGUGUGUGCUCUCGUGAAUGUAAGUGAAACUUUAAAGUACCCUGAUCCUGGUUUCCAUUGACUGGGCUGUUCUAAGAAGACGUGCUUAUCGCCAGCCCUCAGGGCACCUGUGUUAAUCCCCAGGAAAAGAUGACAUCAAAUGGAAG